UACAGAGGUCUCAAGCGUUGUUCGGAUUCAUUAGGCGUAAAGGGUGCGUAGGCGGCGCGGUAAGUCGGGUGUGAAAUCUCGGAGCUUAACUCCGAAACUGCAUUCGAUACUGCCGUGCUUGAGGACUGGAGAGGAGACUGGAAUUUACGGUGUAGCGGUGAAAUGCGUAGAUAUCGUAAGGAAGACCAGUGGCGAAGGCGGGUCUCUGGACAGUUCCUGACGCUGAGGCACGAAGGUCAGGGGAGCAAACGGG
rnacentral:rRNA from 1 species